CCCCCCCCCCGCCCCCCUGCUGCGUCGCCUCUGCUGCGCCUCUUUCGCGAUCCAGUCCCUCUGCCUCUACUUGAUAUUGGGGAGGAAGAGCUGCAGACCUGCAGCCACGAGCGGAGGACGGCCUGAGAGAUUGGGUCCUAGGCGUGGGCGUUGACUUGUUACUAAUUCACCAUCUGUGCCAUGAUUGGGAGUAGCCAGAUUGGUGAUUAUGAAGAUUAACUUUGGAGGACCAGUUUCUUUGUGUUUGAUGCAAAGCACUUGGUGGAAGCAACCUGAAAAGCCCAGUUUCCUUGUUCUGUGUUGUUUACAUCUUUACGCUGGGAACGUAAAAAGGAAAGUGAAGCGGCAAGGCUAUUGUGAAUCUUGUGAAAAGAGUUAGUCAUAAUGUUUAUUAGUGUCAAAAUUCUUAGUGAUCCAUUUUAUUUUUAUUAUAUGUUGGAUGUGUGAAUGGAGAUGACCUGUGAUGUGAUGAUGAGUGGAUUUGCUUGGUUGGA